UCCCUGGUGGCUCAGACGGUAAAGCUUCUGUCUACAAUGUAGGAGACCCAGGUUCGAGCCCUGGGUUGGGAA
rfam:Ovis aries breed Texel chromosome 9, whole genome shotgun sequence.